rnacentral:rRNA from 1 species
GACAGAGAUGGCAAGCGUUGCUCGGAGUUACUGGGCAUAAAGGGCGCGUAGGCGGCCGUGCGCGUCGGAGGUGAAAUCCCCGGGCUCAACCCGGGAACUGCCUUCGAUACGGCGCGGCUAGAGUGUGGGAGGGGAGAGUGGAACUCCUGGUGGAGCGGUGAAAUGCGUAGAUAUCAGGAGGAACGCCGGUGGCGAAAGCGACUCUCUGGUCCACCACUGACGCUGAGGCGCGAAAGCCAGGGGAGCAAAC